UACGGGGGGGGCAAGCGUUGUUCGGAAUUACUGGGCGUAAAGGGCUCGUAGGUGGCCAACUAAGUCAGACGUGAAAUCCCUCGGCUUAACCGGGGAACUGCGUCUGAUACUGGAUGGCUUGAGUUCGGGAGAGGGAUGCGGAAUUCCAGGUGUAGCGGUGAAAUGCGUAGAUAUCUGGAGGAACACCGGUGGCGAAGGCGGCGUUCUGGACUGUUACUGACACUGAGGAACGAAAGCCAGGGGAGCAAACGGG
rnacentral:rRNA from 1 species